GUGGUGGGGUGACUGCGUACCUUUUGUAUAAUGGGUCAGCGACUUAUAUUCUGUAGCAAGGUUAACCGUAUAGGGGAGCCGUAGGGAAACCGAGUCUUAAUUGGGCGUUAAGUUGCAGGGUAUAGACCCGAAACCCGGUGAUCUAGCCAUGGGCAGGUUGAAGGUUGGGUAACACUAACUGGAGGACCGAACCGACUAAUGUUGAAAAAUUAGCGGAUGACCUGUGGCUGGGGGUGAAAGGCCAAUCAAACCGGGAGAUAGCUGGUUCUCCCCGAAAGCUAUUUAGGUAGCGCCUCGUGAAUUCAUCUCCGGGGGUAGAGCACUGUUUCGGCUAGGGGGCCAUCCCGGCUUACCAACCCGAUGCAAACUGCGAAUACCGGAGAAUGUUAUCACGGGAGACACACGGCGGGUGCUAACGUCCGUCGUGAAGAGGGAAACAACCCAGACCGCCAGCUAAGGUCCCAAAGUCAUGGUUAAGUGGGAAACGAUGUGGGAAGGCCCAGACAGCCAGGAUGUUGGCUUAGAAGCAGCCAUCAUUUAAAGAAAGCGUAAUAGCUCACUGGUCGAGUCGGCCUGCGCGGAAGAUGUAACGGGGCUAAACCAUGCACCGAAGCUGCGGCAGCGACGCUUAUGCGU
rnacentral:rRNA from 1 species